rnacentral:rRNA from 1 species
ACGGAGCAAUACCGCGUGCGGGAGGACAGUCCAUUGGAUUGUAAACCGCUUUUCUCUGGGAAGAAGCUCUGACGGUACCAGAGGAAUCAGCAUCGGCUAACUCCGUGCCAGCAGCCGCGGUAAGACGGAGGAUGCAAGCGUUAUCCGGAAUGAUUGGGCGUAAAGCGUCCGCAGGUGGCUUAUCAAGUCCGCUGUCAAAGCGCGAGGCUUAACCUCGUACAGGCAGUAGAAACUGGUGAGCUAGAGGGUGGUAGGGGUAGAGGGAAUUCCCAGUGUAGCGGUGAAAUGCGUAGAUAUUGGGAAGAACACCAGUGGCGAAAGCGCUCUACUGGGCCACACCUGACACUGAGGGACGAAAGCUAGGGGAGCG